AUAUGCUGUGCUAUCACUCCUGAACGCACCUGAUCUCAUCUGAUCUCGAAGCUAAGCAGGGUUGGGCCUGGUUAGUACUUGGAUGGAAGACUGUUUUUUAUAUAUCAGGCAUAAACAUGAU
rnacentral:rRNA from 1 species